UUCCGGUUGAUCCUGCCGGACCCCACUGCUAUCGGGAUAGGACUAAGACAUGCUAGUUGAGCGCUUCAGCCAAAACGAGGCGCGGCGUACAGCUCAGUAACACGUGGCUAAUCUGCCCUUAGGACAGGAACAACCCCGGGAAACUGGGGCUAAUUCUUGAUAUGUGGAGAACUCUGGAAUGAGUCUUCGCUUAAAAGACUUCACGUUAUGCUCGUGAUGUUGCCUAAGGAUGAGGCCGCGGCCGAUCAGGUUGUUGGUGAGGUAAUGGCUCACCAAGCCUUUUACCGGUGCGGGCCGUGAGAGCGGGAGCCCGGAGAUGGGUACUGAGACAAGGACCCAGGCCCUACGGGGCGCAGCAGUCGCGAAAACUUUGCAAUACACGAAAGUGUGACAGGGCUAUCCCGAGUGCCUUCCGCUGAGGGAGGCUUUUACCUAGUAUAGACCGCUAGGGGAAUAAGGAGAGGGCAAGUCUGGUGUCAGCCGCCGCGGUAAUACCAGCUCUCCGAAGUGGUGUGGAUGUUUAUUGGGCCUAAAGCAUCCGUAGCUGGCUAGGUCAGUCCUUUGUUAAAUCCACCGAAUUAAUCGUUGGUUUGCGGGGGAUACUGCUUGGCUAGGGGACGAGAGAGGCAGACGGUAUUUCCGGGGUAGGAGUGAAAUCCUAUAAUCCCGGGAAGACCACCAGUGGCGAAGGCUGUCUGCUAGAACGCGCUCGACGGUGAGGGAUGAAAGCUG
rnacentral:rRNA from 1 species